GUGCUUGCUUCGGCAGCACAUAUACUAAAAUUGGAACAAUACAGAGAUUAGCAUAGCCCCUGCGCAAGGAUGACACACAAAUCCGUGAAGCGUUUCAUAUUUUU
rnacentral:snRNA from 1 species